rfam:Gossypium raimondii Chr05_contig_23, whole genome shotgun sequence.
UAUUAAAAAAUUCAAUCAUUUAUAUAUUGUUAAAAACUGACGCGGUUAAUGAUAUAAUUAGACAGUGACACAUGGCAUGCCACGUGUAACUCAUGUGAACGUACAAAUACCAGUUUUUAACAACAGAAAUGGAUGGAAUUUUAACA